AAAUAAAAAAAACGAUAACAAAUAUUAAUAAAAAUAUAAAAAAAAUAAAAUACAUAUUCGUAAUUAAUAAAAAUACAAAUUUAUACAACCGUUAUAAAAAAUAAUAUAAAAAUUUCUCAAAAAACUAAAAAUAAAAUUAUUAAUUAAACAUUUCCUCUUCUAAAUACAUUUCCAAAACACAUAAAAACAUUAACUCAAAAAUAUAU
rnacentral:misc_RNA from 1 species